rfam:Schistosoma rodhaini strain Burundi genome assembly, scaffold: SROB_scaffold0001415
AUCCAUCUGACGAGUCUCGAAUAGGACGAAACGCACAUUCUGGAU